CUAUCUAUUUAUGUCUUAGUGUUUCUGUCUGUAUAGUCAAUAUAACUAUCUGCCUGCCUGACUGUAUUUUAUGACUUUGUAUGUAUCUAUGCCAAUCAGUCAGAUCUGGCUAUAUAUCUCUAUGUAUGUUUUUAUAUAUCCAUUUAUAUAUCUCUAUAUGUAUCUAUCUAAGUACUGUUGACGUGUAAAAAGAGAAAACUAUUAAAUAGUCAGAAAAAUGACUCUUUAGUCAAGGAAAAGGGGGUCAGUGUGACAGUAGCUCUCUAGAUAGAGUUGGGUGCCACAAGGCUACACAGAGUCCCAGGACUGAACUCUGGUGGCUCUGAACAUUGAUCCCUGGGAAAGGAAAUAGCACCAGACUGGACAGUUCCAAAGAAAAAAUGAAUUUGGGGAAUUUCUCUACCAUUUGGGGGAAAUCCAGGGACAGGGAAAGAUGAUUGACUUUGCUCAAGCUACAAAGAAAAUGGGAGUGUUCCAACUCUACUGACAGCAUCCAAUGAAGCUUGGGAAAAGAAUCACAGCUUGAGGAGAGGAUCUAAGGGAAAGGGCUGCUGACAGUGGAGACUAAAGAUGAUCCCUGAUCAGGUGGGGAUUUAUUUGGAAAAGAUCUCUGGUCCCACAGGUGAGACAACCUAAAACAAAGAGGGUCCUGAGCAUCUGCUUUGUCCCAAUCAAGUAGAAUUGGCAUUCACUUGUGGCUCCAUUAUUUAAUCUGCAAUUGCUAGGCUAUGGUUUCCUUCUGCGUGGAUUCUCACAGAAACAAGGAGCAAGUACAAACUUUGAGUCUUCAAUUUAGAAGCUAGUCCUAACUUUGGGGUACAUCUGAUCUUACUCUGCUACAAGUUUGAGGUUUCUAUAUUCCAUGUUGACACUCUGUCUAUCUGUCUAUGUGUCUGUAUAUAUAUAUGUAUUUCUUUCUCUGUGAUUGUCCUUCAGUCCAUGUCUGUUCCUUGUUCGGUCUCUCUCUCUCUCUCUCUCUCUCUCUCUCUCUCUCUCUCUCUCUCUCUCUCUCUCUCUCUCUCUCUCUCUCUUUAUAUAUGUCUAUCUGUGUGCUGUCUAUCAAUAUAUCUAUAUUUUCUGUGUAUCUCCUUGUGAUGUCUAUGUAUCUAUCUGCCUGUCUGUAUGUGUAUCUAUCCAUCUGUCUGCCAGCCAGUCCCUUCUGGUUAUCUCUAUGUAUGUUACUAUGUAUGUAUGUAUCUAUUUGCUUCUCUUAGUUCUUCUCUUUCUGUGCAUCUAUUUGUCUGUGUGUCUGUCAGUUUUUUCUCUAUACAAAUAGAUAGCUAUUUGUGAGAGAGGAAUAGAGAGAGAGAGAGAGAGAGAAACAGAGAGACAGACAGAGACAAGAAAAGCAACAAAUAUGCAGAUUGAUAAAUGGACAGGUUGAUAGAGUGAUAGAGAUAUACAGAGACACACAGAUGGAAUGAGAUAGAUAGAUUGAUUGAUUGAUAGAUAAAUAGAUAAAUAGAUAGACAGACACACAAACAGUGAUGUAGAGAUAGAGUUAGAUAUAAUGACAUUUAGACAGAGAGGUAGACUGAGGUAUCGAUAUAUUAAUAGACAGAGAGAAUGAUGGAUAGCAACACAGAGGGUUAGACACACAUAGAGAGACAGAGAGAGUCAAGCAGAUCGAUACAUAGACAUAAACAGUCAAAUAUCUAGAGAGAUAGACUUGGGUGGACAGAUUCAAAAAGAGAGAGAUAGACAAAAAGAUCACUAGGUUGAUAUGAAUAGAAGGAAAGAGAAAAAGACUACCAGACAGAGCCAGAUUGAUGGACGAAAAGACAGGACAGAGCGACAGACAGAUACACAAAUGAACAGAAAGACUGACAGGCAGAUUAGUUUCUCUGUCAUUCUGUCUAUCUGCCUUCCUUUCUGUGUAUCUACAAGUCUGUCUCACUGGAUGUGCAUCUGUUUGUCUAUAUAUCCUGAUUUUUGUAUCUGUCUAUCUGUCUCUAUCUGUCUCUCUGUCUCUCUAUGUAUCUGUCUAUCUAUAUGUCUGUCGAUCUGUCUGUCUUUCUACUUAUAUAUCUAUCGAUCUAUCUAUGUCUUUGUGUUCCUAUCGGUGUAGUUUAUGUAUCUAUCUGCCUGCUUGUUUUUGCAUGGAUCACACUGUGUGUAUGUCAUUUGUGUGUUUUAAAGUGUUGUGACAUCCUGGGGAACUACAACUCCCAAUGUGACCUAGUGGUCACAGCCCUUUGAGUCCUGGCUUCUGAUUGGUCUUGUAUUGGACCAAUCCUGUGUUGGGGGAUGGACUAUGUCUAUGGUCCCUCCUUAGCAUGGGAUUGGUCCAUAUCAAGACCAAUCCUAUGAAAGGAAAAUGGGCAUCAUCUCCUGCCCAGCAGAGGAUUGGUCAAAUUCAAGACCAAUUCUUCAUGGGAAAUAAGAAGGAGGGAACCCUGGAGCAUGCUGGGAGAUAUAGUCCCGUAGGCCACAACCACUGAACACCCACUGGAUCUCUCUAUGUAGACAGAGACAUGGACAGCUAGACAGACAGAAGAACUGACACACAGAUUAUUUGAUAUGUUAUUCUGUCUAUUCGCCUAGUGGUUGGUGUCCACUCUAGAAAAUCAGGAUAACUGAUUCCAGACAAGCAAAGCAUGUGAUGGUGCCCCAGUUGGGUUCAGAUGGCUCAGAAGAUGUAUUUGGUUCAAGAUUGGAGGGGGAGUGGCAGACCUCCACUUUGGCCAGUGAGGCUUCGUCAUUUCUUUCCUAACUUCUUCUGAUUCGACUUUGAGACAACCCAGCACUGUGGAAUCUUUGCUGCAACUUCUCCAAUGGACAGAUGUUCCUUUCCAUCCUCUUAACAAGAUUCCAUAUCGUGGGGGCUCCUUCAGAUUUCUCCUGAAGAUGUCUCCUUGAGCAGUUCGUCAGAUUCUGGGCUGCAGGAAAAUCUGGUCCAUGUUUUUGGCUCCUAAUAAACGUCUUGAGGUUUCCACCCAAACAUAUCGGAAUAAGUGGGUGAAGGCAAGCAAAGCAUAUGAUGAUGCCCCUGUGGUUUUCAGAUGGCUCAGCAGAUGUAUUUGGUUCAAGAUUGGAGGGGGCGUGGCAGACGUACACUUUGGCCAGUGAGGUGAGUGGCUGUUGCAGACUUCAUGAUGGGUCCAAACACUUCUCAGACUCUUCCAUGAGGUGCUGGAUUCAUGAAUAGGGAAGCAAGGAAUCAGGAUCUCAGAGGCUAAGCUCUGCGCCUUACUUACAGGGAUCUUAACCUGUUGUCCUGACUUUUCCCAAAAAGGAGCAUUUACUAAACAACAAUGGCAUUUCUUCGGGCAGGCUAUGAAACAAAGUGAGGCAAAAGGAUACAGAAUGUUACCGCCUUUGGGAUCCCAUGCAAUCUAGUGAAGAUAUUGCACAAACUAUGGAGAGUUGAGCUGUUCCUCAGCUGCAGACCCCACCUUUCACUGCUUGUACUCACUCUUCUUGCCCCUUUGAAUGAGAUGGCCAAAGAGAAACACCCCUUCCUUAAUGCUGCAGAUGCCAAGAACCAGCCCCAUGGCCUGGGGCAAACCUCCUGCCCAAACCCCUUGUUUCUGGGUCCUGUCCUCACUGUUGUCAAAUGAUAGCUGAACCCCAGCAUGGAGGUAAGCUGUCUGCCUAUCCUCCCAAGGAACAGCUUUUGCAUCCAUGCUCUUCCACCUCGGCUGCCUCUUGACCACAUUCAACAUGACUUUCCAAAUCAAUAAAAUGUCUCUUUUAUUUUGAAUCUAA